UACGACGGGGGCUAGCGUUGCUCGGAAUCACUGGGCGUAAAGCGCACGUAGGCGGUUUUCUAAGUCAGGGGUGAAAUCCUGGAGCUCAACUCCAGAACUGCCUUUGAUACUGGGAAUCUCGAGUCCGGGAGAGGUGAGUGGAACUGCGAGUGUAGAGGUGAAAUUCGUAGAUAUUCGCAAGAACACCAGUGGCGAAGGCGGCUCACUGGCCCGGUACUGACGCUGAGGUGCGAAAGCGUGGGGAGCAAACAGG
rnacentral:rRNA from 1 species